rnacentral:rRNA from 1 species
GUCUAACCACCGGGAUGUUCAUAACCCUUUGUUGUCCGACUCUGUUGCCUCCGGGGCGACCCUGCCUUCGGGCGGGGGCUCCGGGUGGACACUUCAAACUCUUGCGUAACUUUGCAGUCUGAGUAAACUUAAUUAAUAAAUUAAAACUUUUAACAACGGAUCUCUUGGUUCUGGCAUCGAUGAAGAACGCAGCGAAAUGCGAUAAGUAAUGUGAAUUGCAGAAUUCAGUGAAUCAUCGAAUCUUUGAACGCACAUUGCGCCCCCUGGUAUUCCGGGGGGCAUGCCUGUUCGAGCGUCAUUUCACCACUCAAGCCUCGCUUGGUAUUGGGCAUCGCGGUCCGCCGCGUGCCUCAAAUCGACCGGCUGGGUCUUCUGUCCCCUAAGCGUUGUGGAAACUAUUCGCUAAAGGGUGUUCGGGAGGCUACGCCGUAAAACAACCCCAUUUCUAAGGUUGACCUCGGAUCAGGUAGGGAUACCCGCUGAACUUAAGCAUAUCAAUAAGCGGAGGAA